UCAACUGGGAUGCUAUAAUGUUAUGAGUUUAGAUGAAAUUGUAUCUUUCCUAUAGGUAGCGUAGCCAAGAUCUGUUUCAGAGCCCACGGGUGGAAAAAAACCAAGCCCUGUUUCUCUUCUUUCUCUGUUCCCUUAUUUCCCUCCCUUCUCCCUAUUGUCAACUGGGGGAAAUUGGCAAUGAGGUUGCAUGUGCGUGCACUUGGGUUGGGGCCAGAGGAACAACCCCAAAAGCCUCCUUCCUGCAGCUGCAAUAAACAAGAAAGUGAAAUGUAGUGUGUGCAUACACUCAGCCAAAGAACUUGACUUGAACAUUUUAAUUGUGGGGGUGCAUUUUUACCUUUUUUCUUCUUUUCUAGAGUGCUAUCUAAGAUUUUUCCGUUACAGCAAGCUUUUAAAAUCCUGCAUUGAUUUUUAAAAGGAUUUUUCUAUCAUAAGCAAAAUAUAGGACAUGAUUUGGCUGUAUUUUUGUCAGCCAUUCAGUUAUUUGUAGCCUACUGUCUCUCUAUUACUCAGAUUAUUUCCUUUUUUUACCAACCCUUUUCAUAAGACUUCUCAUUGUCUGAAGGCGGAAGUUUCCAAGCUAGUGCUGCCCAAGCUGCGUUUCACAAGAGUAAAAAUGAGGAAAUGAUUAAAUGUAUUUGAAUUUUAUCAUGCUUUCAGUUUUAAUAGCAUUGGGACUCUUGUCGCUGUACCACAUUUAGUCAUAACCUCGAAUUUCCUUAUGGCUCUGGGCAGUAGAAUUUGUCUGAUGGAGAAGCGUGUCCUGCCAGUGCUCCCUGAGGAGCGAAUCCCCUGCCGCUGCGAAGCGCCGGGCUCAUGGCGUGGGAUAAAGCAGUUGUAUGUGCCAUUGCCCCCUGCUGGAAAGCGCCUGGAAUACUGAUUUCUACAUGGUAAAACAAAGGCUGUAGUGAAACCCGUCCUCUCCCAGGAAGAGGUGGGAGGGAAUUUUAUAUGAGCGAGAAACUUUGCCUCAAGUCGAAAUCUGGGGCCUGGACUAAUGAACUACCUGUAAUUCAUAUUGUACUCAAUAUUGCUGAAACUAGGCAUGUACUAAUCCUGAACCAUGCCAAACUAUGCAUAAUUACCAUGCUUUCUCUGUGGCAGUAAUUAAUUUGCGUUAGCAACUUUGAUUAAUCUUUCUAAUCUAAAAGUAAAGUGCUUCUCAGACAUGAAAGGCUCCGUAACUGCUCAGGGUUGUUAUUGUAGCCCAGUGAAGGGUGUUUCGAGCCGAUGGGGGGCAGGAGGGGAACAACACUUAAAAAAAUUAAAGUAUAGCUGAUAUUUAUGAACUCAGGACUAUUAUUAACAGUUAAUGCAUUCCGUUUUGCCACAGAAUUCACUGUCUGAAAUACAGGCUUCUGUACACAGUACACUCCUCCUGGAAGAGAAUUGUCAUUAAUUCGUUAAGAAGGCUUCUCUGAGGGCUGUUCCACAAAGAUGAGGUUACAUGCCAAACAGAGGGACUGAGAUUCCAUCUUUAGAGGGCAAGGUUACGUAUUUAAAGUUUGUAACGUUGCAGAGCAAACUUACGCAUAUAUUCAUUUUAGUCUUAACCUGGAGGACAGCAUUGUUCUAGGCAUGGUUGUUCAACUGACUCAGUCUUCAUUGCCAGGCCAGAAAGGGUGUCAGCUGGGGAGUGAUUUGGACAUGCCUGCUUUUCAGGAAAUAUGGAUGCUAACAUCAUUAACUUAGUCUAUGUUGACAAACAGAGAGCUAUCAGAUGCUAACCUACAAACUAAAUUCUGACAUCACUGGAGAUCUAAGUUUCCAUCCUUCAUUGUCAACCUCUUGGCCCAAGCCACGCUCUUCACCCAAAGAAUCCAAAGCUGCUGAAAGGGCUUAUGUCAUCAAGUGGUGACUGUGAUUUACCUAGACUUCAUAAACUGUCGCAUCUACCAAAGGUAAAAUUGCUGAGGCAAAUAGAUGUGGCUCUACAAACCCAUUACAAAUACUACAGGGGUUUUAAGUUAACAUUGUGUUGCUUGUUUUCUCCCUCAGACAUGCUAACAUUACAGUUAUUUUACUCUGGUUCCCCUGUGAGCACUGUUUCCUGGCAAGGAAUACUGCUGCAUGUAAUUCAUGAUAGGCAGAAUGACAUGAUAAUCGUUUGGAAAGUGAUAAUCUAGAGAUUAGUAAUGAAUUUCACUUUGAUUUAGAUGAGUUUAAAAGAUUUGCUGCUAUUACCUUCAAGUCUGGGAUCAAUUCUGUUUCAACAAGUGAGAGAAGCAUUUUUAAAAUACGUAACUUAUUAGAAAA